UACGGUACGGGCGGGUAACGGCCCACCUAGUCUUCGAUGGAUAGGGGUUCUGAGAGGAAGGUCCCCCACAUUGGAACUGAGACACGGUCCAAACUCCUACGGAAGGCAGCAG
rnacentral:rRNA from 1 species